rnacentral:rRNA from 1 species
AUUGAACGCUGGCGGCAGGCCUAACACAUGCAAGUCGAGCGGCGGCGGGAAGUAGCUUGCUACUUUGCCGGCGAGCGGCGGACGGGUGAGUAAUGUCUGGGAAACUGCCUGAUGGAGGGGGAUAACUACUGGAAACGGUAGCUAAUACCGCAUAAUGUCGCAAGACCAAAGAGGGGGACCUUCGGGCCUCUUGCCAUCAGAUGUGCCCAGAUGGGAUUAGCUAGUAGGUGGGGUAACGGCUCACCUAGGCGACGAUCCCUAGCUGGUCUGGGAGGAUGACCAGCAACACUGGAACUGUGACACAGUCACGACUCCUACGGGAGGCAGCAGUGGGGAAUAUUGCACAAUGGGCGCAAGCCUGAUGCAGCCAUGCCGCGUGUAUGAAGAAGGCCUUCGGGUUGUAAAGUACUUUAAGCGAGGAGGAGGCUACUAGUAUUAAUACUACUGGAUAGUGGACGUUACUCGCAGAAUAAGCACCGGCUAACUCUGUGCCAGCCGCCGCCGUAAUAC